GAUCCUGGCUGGCUAAGGCUGAUGGUGGAUUGCAACAUGGGGAUUCUUGGGGAUAUUUCUCUCUCUCUCAGAAGGGGAAGAAACAGAGGAAGUGGAGAAGAAAAUUCCUGAAUGACACUAGGAGGAAAAUUCAUGAAUACUCAUGAGGAGAAAGGCGGUCUAAGCCGCAGAGAAGUGACCGUGUCAUGAGUAUGUGAGAACUGACACGAAUGUUUGCCAGCUGUUCAGUGGCAUCUAGGUAAUAGUAAUUUUAGACUAACAGCUACUUUGUAGUUGUUGGUGGUAAAUUCUCAACAGUUAGCAUGUCCAGAGAUCCGCUGUUCUGGAAAAUAAAACAGUGUUAGGAUGAGCACAUGUUAGUGACUUAAGGAUAUUUUCUGAUGGAAUAAUCUAGCUAAUAGCUAGAAUAGCUCUCUAAGAGAGUAAUCAUGUACACAGGGCAGAAAUAACUGAUAUAAAUAAGAUAAGGCCUAACAUGCUAUUAAAAAAUUCAAAGCCUAAUGAUCCAAAAAGCAUUCUGGGAUCUUGCAGAACCUUGACUAAUCAUUCUGAAUAUCAAUAAUGAAUGUAACACAG